AGAGUUUGAUUAUGGCUCAGGAUGAACGCUAGCUACAGGCUUAACACAUGCAAGUCGAGGGGUAGCAGGGUAGCAAUACCGCUGACGACCGGCGCACGGGUGAGUAACACGUAUCCAACCUUCCCAUAACUCAGGGAUAGCCUUUCGAAAGAAAGAUUAAUACCUGAUAGUACUUUUUCAAGGCAUCUUGAAAAAGUUAAAGAUUUAUUGGUUAUGGAUGGGGAUGCGUUCCAUUAGAUAGUUGGUGAGGUAACGGCUCACCAAGUCUUCGAUGGAUAGGGGUUCUGAGAGGAAGGUCCCCCACAUUGGUACUGAGACACGGACCAAACUCCUACGGGAGGCAGCAGUGAGGAAUAUUGGUCAAUGGGCGAGAGCCUGAACCAGCCAAGUAGCGUGAAGGAAUGAAGGUCCUAUGGAUUGUAAACUUCUUUUAUAGUAGAAUAAAGUGAGCCACGUGUGGUUUUUUGUAUGCAUACUAUGAAUAAGGAUCGGCUAACUCCGUGCCAGCCGCCGC
rnacentral:rRNA from 1 species